UGGAGCAAGUUUGAAUUUGGAGAUAUAUUCUAGUGUGCUCAGUGAUACACUCGCUCCGGUCGUCAGUCUGCCACAAUGCUCCGAGCUAUCGGGAUGGUUAUUCUGUUCCUAUUGUUGACAACAAUGACAACAGCUGUUACUGCGCAGUCUACCGACAAGUGUAAUAGUAUUGGGAUGCCUUGUAUAGAAACAGCUCCAUGUUGUCCAGGACUAAGAUGUCUGUUUUACGCCAACAAAUGCGUUUCUUCCGACCCGAUCAGUGUUGCCAACGCAGAAACUUCAAAUAACCCUUCUGCGACACAAUAAUAUAUUACAUGCUCUUGUAUCUAACUGAUUUGUUUUAUAGCUUUAUAUUUAUAUUUUAAAAACUAAAUUGGUUCUAUAUUUCUAUAUACUAAUUUUAUCCCAGACUAUUCUCACUUUUUCUUACCAUUAGUAAGUGUCUAAUUCCAACUUUUUGUGAUAUUAAGUAAUACAUGCUAUCAAAAGACAUACACAUUAAUACCAGUGUUACACUAAUGUUAUUAAAGUUAUUUUAAAAGAAU